UCACGAGAAUGUGAGUGAAAAACUUGUAUAAAUACGAAUUUGAUCCGUAUCUGAUGCUGAAGACUGGUUCAAUAAAGCUCCCCUGCGAUGAUUUGAAGAUGAAAACAGGUGCCACAUCAAUUUCCCGUCUCUAAAAUUGUCGACAAAGGAAGAACUUUGGGAACCAAGGUGACGUUGGAGUCGAAGAAAAAAUGAUGCUUUGGUUUUAGAGCCCCCUGAAAUGUUUUCCAACCGUAUUCUCAUCGAUGGACAAAGAGCGAAUAGCAAGAUUUAUUCAUCAAGGAGGAAUGUUGUGUACCAAGGUGACUUUAAAGUCGAAGAAAAGAAAUGAUGGAUGAGUCUUAGGGUAAAAGUCUUGCCCCUUUUGGGGCUGGGCUUCUAAAGGAUCUCUCUGAAAUCAUUUCCAACUUUAGCCAUCGAUGGACACAGAGCGGAUAAGCAAGAUUUUUAUUCGUCAAUGUCAAUCCACAUACUCGGUCCAGUGAACCAAAGGAAUGGACCUCCUUUGUCGAGAAAUGAAACAAUGAAGCAUACUUGUCCCAAGGCACACGUGAAAACAAGACAAUUUUACAUAAAAUUCACAAAGGAAAGAAAAAGAACUCAUACAUCGUAUGGCUGCUGGAAGAUUGUUAAUCCUCCGAAGGAAAUUAUGUUCCAGUACGAGGUACACACAUAACUCAACCAACUGCAAGAGGACAACCCAGGAAAAACGAAAAUGGACAAAUUAGAGAAAUGUGAUCUUUGUAUUAUGUAUUCGAAUAGAUUAAUUCUUAAAAAUUCUG